rnacentral:sRNA from 1 species
AUAGAGAAGGUGCCAGAAAGAUCCAAAACAAGUGGCUGCGGCCGUCGCCCGGGAGUCACCGGACGCCAGAAUCUGUGUCUCCAGAACGCUAUAGCUAUGGCACCUCCAGCUCUUCAAAGAGGACAGAGGGUAGCUGCCGUCGCCGUCGGCAGUCAAGCAGUUCUGCAAAUUCUCAGCAGGGUCAGUGGGAGACAGGCUCCGCCCCAACCAAGCGGCAGCGACGGAGUCGGGGCCGGCCCAGUGGUGGUGCGAGACGGCGGCGGAGAGGGGCCCCAGCCGCACCCCAGCAGCAGCCAGAGCCCGCCAGACCUUCCUCUGAAGGCAAAGUGACCUGUGAUGGGGAAACAGGCUCAGAGAGACAUCCGGCUCCGGGUUCGAGCAGAGUACUGCGAGCAUGGGCCAGCCUUGGAGCAGGGCGUGGCAUCCCGGCGGCCCCAGGCGCUGGCGCGGCAGCUGGACGUGUUUGGGCAGGCCACCGCAGUGCUGCGCUCAAGGGACCUGGGCUCCGUGGUUUGUGACAUCAAGUUCUCAGAGCUCUCCUAUCUGGACGCCUUCUGGGGCGACUACCUGAGUGGCGCCCUGCUGCAGGCCCUGCGGGGCGUGUUCCUGACUGAGGCCCUGCGAGAGGCUGUGGGCCGGGAGGCUGUUCGCCUGCUGGUCAGUGUGGAUGAGGCUGACUAUGAGGCUGGCCGGCGCCGCCUGUUGCUGAUGGAGGAGGAAGGG